CUUAUACAUAGAUUUUCUUCCAUCUCUGCCACCUAUGAGACAAAACCAACCCCUCUUCUUUCUCCUCCUCCUCAGCCUACUCAAUGUGAAGACAAUAAGGAUGAAGACCUUUAUGAUGAUCCAUUUCCACUUAGGGAAUAGCUCAGCAGAGAUCCAGUCCAGGGGAAAGUGAAGAAAAUGCAACCUGUUUAAGGACAGCCCUGUUUUUCUUUGAGAUUUUUUUCCUGCCAUGACUGCUAAUGAAUGAUCCAAGAUGUUCUUGUCGCAGUGUGAUUUUUCUCCUGCUUGUUCCUAAAGAGAAGCCAAGAAGCCG
rnacentral:lncRNA from 1 species